rnacentral:rRNA from 1 species
UACGGAGGAUGCAAGCGUUAUCCGGAAUGAUUGGGCGUAAAGCGUCCGCAGGUGGCUGUGUAAGUCUGCUGUUAAAGAGUGAGGCUCAACCUCAUAAAGGCAGUGGAAACUACAUGGCUAGAGUGCGUUCGGGGCAGAGGGAAUUCCUGGUGUAGCGGUGAAAUGCGUAGAGAUCAGGAAGAACACCGGUGGCGAAAGCGCUCUGCUAGGCCGAACUGACACUGAGGGACGAAAGCUAGGGGAGCGAAUGGG